rnacentral:rRNA from 1 species
AGUGAACGCUGGCGGUAGGCCUAACACAUGCAAGUCGAACGGCAGCACAGUAAGAGCUUGCUCUUACGGGUGGCGAGUGGCGGACGGGUGAGGAAUACAUCGGAAUCUCCUUUUUCGUGGGGGCUAACGUAGGGAAACUUACGCUAAUACCGCAUACGACCUACGGGUGAAAGCAGGGGAUCUUCGGCCCUUGCGCGAUUGAAUGAGCCGAUGUCGGAUUAGCUAGUUGGCGGGGUAAAGGCCCACCAAGGCGACGAUCGGUAGCUGGUCUGAGAGGAUGAUCAGCCACACUGGAACUGAGACACGGUCCAGACUCCUACGGGAGGCAGCAGUGGGGAAUGUGGGACAAUGGGCGCGAGCCUGAUCCAGCCAUACCGCGUGGGUGAAGAAGGCCUUCGGGUUGUAAAGCCCUUUUGUUGGGAAAGAAAAGCAGCAGGUUAAUACCCCGCUGUUCUGACGUUACCCAAAGAAUAAGCACCGGCUAACUUCGUG